CAGGAAUGCCCACAUGUAGGAACGUCCCCAAUUGCGGGCUGCUGUUGCAUACAGACGAUAAAAUGCCCAAGUCGUUUUAGUGGACGGAGAAAAGUUUUAAAUUAUUCUAGCAAUAUCUUCACGUUGCUGGCCACCAGCAUAUCUCGUACUGCGGGUACCCUGAUAGGCGAAGACCUCCAGGAUGACCACAUGAAACGUGGGCAACAUCUGCCGAGACACUGGUCUCAGAACAGAGGACCUACCAGCUGUCAUGAACAACAGAGAGCUAUGGCAUGCCAUCGUCUGGCACAUUUCACCUCCAUAAGUAAAGUAUAGAAAGAGAGGGAGAGGAGCUACACAGACUGCUGAAAGCCCAGGAUACUGCACAGAGGAGCAAGAAUGAAGUUGGAUAAACCAAGGAGAGGUACCUUGAACAAAAAAGGAAAUAAUUUAAAAAGAAAAACAUCAUGACUUAUUCCACAUUGAAUGUUUUGUGAAGUUAUUGAAAUUCAAGUCAUUAACAUGGGCAUCAUAUUUGUCUUUCAUUUCACUGUCAUACUUCAUCUAUAGAAUAAAAAGAUUGAUUGGUUUACU